rnacentral:lncRNA from 1 species
GAUGAGGUGGGGUCCACUUAUGAGCUGGUCCAGAGUCUCGUCUCCACCCACUCCAUCAUUGAUACCAAGAUGGCUUCAAGUUGAGUGAUGCUGUUUUCUGAUUCUAAGCCACUUGGGUCAGAGGAUAUAGAUAAUCAAGUAUUUGCUGAUGAACCUGCAAAUUGAAUUCGUUUGCAUUUCCUUGGUAAUAAUGUAGGCUGUUGAUGCCAAAGGAAGAAAAACAAAUGGGCUUGUAACUGAUCGAAUGCGAUAGAAAGUCAUUUUUGCAGAUGAAGAUGGACCUGGAGAUAGUGAUGAUGAAGAAGAUGAAAUUUCUGAAGAUGAUAGAUUGGAACCCGUCUCUAGUGAUGAGGAAGCAGAAGAGGAGGAAAACGCUGAGGUGACUGAUCAGUAUAUGACUGCUAAGGGCAUCAAACGAGGGAAGCUUGAGGAGUUGGAAGAAGACAGUGAAGUAGAUUUGCCAGCAUUUGCUGACUGUGAUGAUGAGCUUGAGGGGAGCUCAGCAGAAGGGGAAGUGGAAUAAGCUGAGGAAAGCAGUGAGGAAGAGGACUGCACUGCAGGAGAGAGGGGCAUUUCAGGAUCAAAGACUGUUGGAGAAGGUAGUAAAGCAGAGCUGUCACCAGCUAAUCUCCAGAGUGAUCCUGUAAAUCUGGAGAAGUCUUUGUUGAUGAAGAAAGCAGCCCUCACCUCUUUAUCUCUGGGCAUUGCACAGCUGACGAGGCAUUUGCAUCUGAAGAUGAAUCUGAAGAAAGCUCUUCACUCAGUGCAGAGGAAGAGGACCUGGAAAAUGAGGACACUUUUAGGAAAAAGGUUUCAGAGCCUUCUCAAGUAGGCAGUGGUCAGAACCUGGGGUGAAGAAACUUAAUUGAUGAGACCAGUGAUAUAGAAGAUUUACUCAAAGAAGAAGAAGAUUGCAAGGAAGAGAAGAAUGAUUCCACAGAAGCCUCAGUGACAGAAGAUAAUGAAGAAGAUGAUACCUGAGAAGAGCUUGGAGGGUGGUUUUGUGUCAGCCAGCCUGACAGCGUGGAAGCACAAGGCCGACUCUUUGGACUGCUUCAGAUUUCUUGUGGAGGUGCCCCAUGACUGGGAUUUAGAGGACGUGUGCGAAGAGUCGGACCAGGAUGAGGGGACAGAGCAUUCUCCUGAGUCUGAAAUCUGUGAGACAGCAGCUGAGGACACCACAGCACCUGAGGACACGGCAGCAGAUGAGGACAGGGCAGCAGAUGAGGACACGACAGCAGCUGAGGAUACAACAGCAGCCGCACCCACGGCUGCUGCCACAGAACCUGCCGAGUUGACUGUUGAAGCUGGUGAGGUCUGUCCUGUGCACGACAUCUGUGAUGGGGAGAUGCCUGAAGGUAAGGAGGUGAAGGGGCCAUCUGCCCUAGCCACCCCUUUGGCUGCUGGUAUCUUCAAGUUACCCUGGGGGGCAUCCCCUCCCGGGCUCCUUUUUUCCUGUAGCCAGCUUUUCCAGGGCUGGUCAGAAACAAAGGCUGGCUCUGCCUUGCAUUCCUUUUCCCACCGCUUAGUCUUUCCCCACGGAGUCCAGUUAAUUUCUUUUCUCCUCCCCUCCCAAACACUCCGUUCUUGCUCCCUCAUCUCAUUCUCUCAGGCUAGCCUGGGACCAUCUUCUUGUCUGUAG